GCCCCACCGAGCCGGGGAUGGAUCGAACUCCUAAAGCGGGUGUCGCAGGUUCGAAUCCUGCCGGGGGCA
rnacentral:tRNA from 1 species